CUUGGAGGCUGGGGAGGGGGUGUCCGUCUGCGCGUAAUUUAGGGCGAAUGACAGCGGCGUUGUGCCUCUUAAAGGUCCCGCCCCCAGUGCCCCUGCUGCGCUGGCAUCGCCCGGGACCUGGACGGGGAGGGUAUUUGUGAGCCUGCUUUAGACUGGUGAUGUGCUGGACCCCAGGACAGGACACGCACAGCCUCCGCCUCUUCCUCUGCGCGUGUGUGUCAGGAGGGAGCAGGGCAGAAUCGGACAGUAAACAACUAAGGAAAGCAACUGGAGCCCUCUUCUCAGUUGAGGUCAACUUCCUUCAGGAGACUCAGUACCUGAAAGUGCCUGACGCACAGCUGAAUCCUGGUUGAAGCAGUAACUGUGAUAAGGGCUGAAACUGGUGGAGCGCCGGCUGUAUCCAGGCAUCGGCUCGGCUCUGCAGUCUUCCCCAGACACUGCCCGCACCUCGGCCUUGUGGCUGGGCCUGAGCCCUGCUCUCACGCCCAGCUAGGCUUCCUUCUACUAGUUCUGUGAUUUGCCCUCUGCUGCCCCUGUGUCAGUUCGGAUUAAAACACGGCUCUUUGCAUCUGCUUUGAGCUAACUGGCAUCUCAGCUCACCUGGUGGAGUGAAGAUUUCUGGGCUGGAGUUGCAGAGACAAGUGAGCCAGUA